GCCUGGGUGGCUCAGCUGGUUGAGCGUCUGACUAUAGCUCAGAUCAUGAUCUCAUGGUUCGUGGGUUUGAGCCCCACAUCAGGCU